rnacentral:lncRNA from 1 species
ACAGUCUCAUGGUCCAAUUCAUAGAUCAUAGGGUGGAAGCUUAGCUGCCCAGGGGGACUAAAUGCUGGACUGUUCCCCUAUGAAGAAUCCAGCUGGAAGAAGAACUCAGGUUUCAGUGGGACCUCAGGUGGUGCCAAGCAGCAGCAGCAGCCAAGGAUAAGCUUAGAGCGGAGGUAUGAGGAUGAGAUACAGACUCCUGCUUCACCCAGGUCAGCAAAGCUGCUUAGUCUGCUCUACUGUGAGGGACAGCACCUUGGCAAGGAAAACAUCAGCUUCUCAUACAUAGAC